rnacentral:lncRNA from 1 species
GAGAUAGCUAUCUUUAUUUGUGAUGUUCUUUCCAGGCUAAAAGGUGCAGGAGAGAUGACUCAAGGGACAGAGAGAUCUGAAAUUGUUACAUUAAACAAGUUUCCCAGGCAAAGCAAGAAAUAGCCUGGAGUCUGCUCCUGGUUACAACUUUAAUCAUUACAUACAAGCUGACUGCAAAUGAUGAACAAAAUACUUUAAUCUGGACUUCAUCACGUUAUGUUUGCAACUUUGGAGUUCUGAAUUUGUAAUAAGAGCGUGAAAGGUUUACCUGCAAUGCCAGUCUCAUUGAAUUCCAGUAAAUCCAAGAAAGAAUGUGUGGCUUCAUGGAAUGGAGCAAAGAGAUGGAGGACCUGGUGCCCCAACACUACAGGCACAACAGCGUGGACAUGGAUCCUCUCUGCAGAGCCCUGUAUUCAGCCAAAAUGCCUAGGACAGUGGGAAGUGCAGGAAUGUUCUUGUGCCUGUUUACUUGUGACAAGAUCAUCAAGUUUCUCAGCUCAGAGGGGACACUGAGAGUGGGGGAAUGGGUAAGAUUUUGCUGCUAAAAGGGAGGAAAAGCAAGAAAUGAGGAAAAUGACAGAACCAUCUAUUCCAGGGUCAACUCUAACAUAUAUUACAGGAGAAUUGUAUUUCUUGCAAAUAAAAGCAGAGACCUUCUGAUGUUGUUUUUUACUUUAACGUAAGAGAAAUUCCAUUGAUUUUCCUAAUCUAGCUCUUAAAUACACACAAGGAAGGUGUCCUGAGUGAGGCACUCGUAAGAAGUUAACUAAAGUCAUUUUCAGAUUUAAUGAUUGCAAGUGUCAGAAUGAGUGUGACUUCUCUUUAGUUCUUUAAACAGCACUUGCAGGUGUUCUCUGUGGUUAGACUGGCUGCCCCAAAUUACCCAGAAGUGAAGCUGCGUUUUUGGUGAUGCUCAUGUCUGAUCCAUGACCUCCAUCUUUUCUUUUUUUUUUUUUCUCUUAAGAUAACACAGCACAUUUGAGAAUGCUUAAAAUAUUCGAGUGGUGCUACUGGCUAUAAUUAAGUUCUUUCAGCCUUUCCAUUACAAAUUCUUCUUUCCGAGGUUUAAUAUCUCAGAGACUUUUAAUCCCAUUGGGCCAAACUUAGUAUAGAGGCUGUCAGCAGAAAUGCAAAUUUUUUUGCUCAACCCUAAAUAUUUCCAAUCAAACAAAUCUGGUUUUUUUCCCACUCAUUAU